rnacentral:rRNA from 1 species
GCAGUGGGGAAUAUUGCACAAUGGGGGAAACCCUGAUGCAGCGACGCCGCGUGAAGGAAGAAGUAUUUCGGUAUGUAAACUUCUAUCAGCAGGGUAAGAAAAUGACGGUACCUGACUAAGAAGCCCCGGCUAACUACGUGCC